AGUGAGUGGCGAACGGGUGAGUAACACGUGGGUAACCUGCCCAGAAGUAGGGGAUAACACCUGGAAACAGAUGCUAAUACCGUAUAACAGAGAAAACCGCAUGGUUUUCUUUUAAAAGAUGGCUCUGCUAUCACUUCUGGAUGGACCCGCGGCGUAUUAGCUAGUUGGGUGGAGGGUCAAAGGCUCGACCAAGGCAGUGCAUACGUAGCCGACCUGAGAGGGUAAUCGGCCACAUUGGGACUGAGACACGGCCCAGACUCCUACGGGAGGCCAGCAGUACGGGAAUCUUCCAUCAAUGGACGCAAGUCUGAUGGAGCAACGCCGCGUGAGUGAAGAAGGAGAUUUCGGCUCGUAAAGCUCUGCUUGUUAAAGAAGAACGUGGGUAAGAGUAACUGUUUACCCAGUGACGGUAUUUAACCAGAAAGCCACGGCUAACUACGUGCCAGCAGCCGCGGUAAUACGUAGGUGGCAAGCGUUAUCCGGAUUUAUUGGGCGUAAAGCGAGCGCAGGCGGUCUUUUAAGUCUAAUGUGAAAGCCUUCGGCUCAACCGAAGAAGUGCAUUGGAAACUGGGAGACUUGAGUGCAGAAGAGGACAGUGGAACUCCAUGUGUAGCGGUGAAAUGCGUAGAUAUAUGGAAGAACACCAGUGGCGAAGGCGGCUGUCUGGUCUGCAACUGACGCUGAGGCUCGAAAGCAUGGGUAGCGAACAGGAUUAGAUACCCUGGUAGUCCAUGCCGUAAACGAUGAUUACUAAGUGUUGGAGGGUUUCCGCCCUUCAGUGCUGCAGCUAACGCAUUAAGUAAUCCGCCUGGGGAGUACGACCGCAAGGUUGAAACUCAAAAGAAUUGACGGGGGCYCGCACAAGCGGUGGAGCAUGUGGUUUAAUUCGAAGCUACGCGAAGAACCUUACUCAGGUCUUGACAUCUUUCUGACAGUCUAAGAGAUUAGAGGUUCYCUUCGGGGACAGAAUGACAGGUGGUGCAUGGAUUGUCGUCAGCUCGUGUCGUGAGAUGUUGGGUUAAGGUUCCCGCAACGAGCGCAACCCUUUAUUACUAGUUGCCAGCAUUAAGUUGGGCACCUCUAGUGAGACUGCCGGUGACAAACCGGAGGAAGGUGGGGACGACGGUCAAAUCAUCAUGCCCCUUAUGAACCUGGGCUAUACACACCCGUGCUACAAUGGAUGGUACAACGAGUCGCGAAACCGCGAGGUUAAGCUAAUCUCUUAAAACCAUUCUCAGUUCGGACUGUAGGCUGCAACUCGCCUACACGAAGUCGGAAUCGCUAGUAAUCGCGGAUCAGCAUGCCGCGGUGAAUACGUUCCCGGGCCUUGUACA
rnacentral:rRNA from 1 species